CUCAGACAUGUCUGGCAUUGAGAAGGAACAUGAACCUCGCAGAGGGGAAGGAUGGCUAGGGUUUGACUGUUUUUUUGAACAGGAUGGAAGCCAAGGGAGAUGGGGUCAGUUGAGGUGUUCCAACAACUGUCUCAAAAAUCCCGGCAGAAGAUUUUGAAGAAAAACCCCGGUUUUCUUGAAUCCUCACAGAAAGGGGAGACUAGAAACAAAAGACAUCUCCUUUGCUUCCAGAUUCCCGGAGUUGUCUGGUAAUGAGGCAAUCCUUUCCUGGCACCAAGGAAGGGCUGCCAAAACUUACCAGUUCGAAGCGAUGUCUGGUCAUCAGUUGGCGGUGGCCUUUCGCUGGAGUUGCCAAGUAAAGAAAGGGGUAGGGAGGGGAGAAGAAAAAGAAGGAGAGUGGAAUGUGAAGGUGGGAAGAAGGAUGGUAGAUGGGGCUGGGAACACGAAGCCGUGAGAGACAACCUCUCCGCUAUGAAACCCAGACCCCAUUCUGGGUUUUGGCACCAAAUGUUAGAAAAAUAUAAAGGAAGAGAGUGAGGGAGAGAAAGCAACUCAACAACCAAAUAGCUUGAUAUCUGACCUAUUUCAAGCUAUGCAGCUAUUCUCAUCUGAAGUCAUCAGUUGGGAUGGAAACCAGUCUCUCAGCAGUACUUAAACAGGUCAGAAAGUUGCCAGCAGUUCCAAUCUAUUAUUUUUAUCUCAAAGGAAAAAUCAGCAGUAGAGUGGCUUCCCUCCUUCGACUCAGUUUCAGGGAAGGGGUGAGAACACCCUGUGAAGAGGAAGGCAGAGAUUGGAAUGAUGCAGAAGAAGCCAACGAAUCUAGGAGAGAGGCAUGAAUUUCCCCUUCAUAGUCCUUGUAAGGAGCCAACCCUGCUGCACCUUUAUCUCAAAUGUCCAGCUUCCAGAACUGCAAGACAGUAAAUUUCUGCUGUUUAAGACAAAAAAAAAAAAAGUUAAGCUUUAUAUGCACAAAGCAAGACAUUACUUAUAUUAAAUGUUGUAUCUGUGAUCUUUACAACAUUUGUCAAAUAGUCUAUUAGCCAAUCAGUUGGUAGGCAGAAGUAUCUAAAUCACAUAAAAUAAUUGUGCCUAAAUAAUUCUGGUAACUUAUGUAUAAUCCGUUGAACAUCUUGACAAUCACUAAUUUAACUAAUGCAAGUUUGUCAAAUAGGGGAACUGGGGAUCCUGAUACUAAUAUAAUUUUAGAAGAUGAACAACAGUAAAGCAUUUAUGGACUGAGAGCUUAAUGUGUUUAUUUCUUUUAAAAUUUUACAAACUGCUGGGUGUGUUGGCUUAUGCCUCUAAUCUCAGCACUUUGGGAGACUGAGGCAGGUGAAUUGCUUGAGCCCAGGAGUUCACGACCAGCUUGGGCAACGUAGUGAGAACUAAUUUCUACUAAAAAUUAAACAAAAAAAUAGUCAAGUGUGGUGGUACACACCUGAAAUCCCAGUUAUUCUGGAGACUGUGGCAGUAAGAUCAUUUGAGCCCAAGAUACUGAGACUACUGUGAGCCAUGAUUGUGCCACUGCACUCCAGCUCAGGCAACAGACUGAGACCCUGUCUCAAAAAUAAAUAAAUACAAAUAAAAUAAAAUUUUACAAACUUUCUGAUUUAGCAGUCACUAAAAACCACAUGAAAAAUCUAUUAUAUAUACACCAUCUUUUAAAAUAAAUACAUUGUAAUUUUGAAAAAUUGUGUUAUUUCCCUGAAAUCAACGUUAGCAAACAAUGGGGCUAAUAUAAAUCCAGAUAUGUUCAACUUCAAAGCCUAUACUACAAUUACUCUUGUAAAAAUAGUUUUCCAGUUAUGCCUCAACUUGUUUUAACUAGUGGAAAAAAAAAGCUUUCCAGCCCAUUAUGAGAAAGAAAAUUUAACUUCUCUAUUACAUAACUUGAUUACAUAAAUUACUAUAACCUAAUAAGUGCAGUUAACUUGACAUCCUCACUUAACAUAUGGAAGAGCACAUUUAUGACACAUUUAUAGACAUCAGUAUGGCAUUGUAUAUCAGAAAUUAAAAUGUGGAUAAGAUUUUGUCCCCCAAAUUUUACUACAAUAAAUUUGUUUUAAGGAAAUAUUGAAGUAGCAAAGAUGUAUGUUUAAGAAUAUUAAUUAUUACAGUGCUAAAAAAUAAAAUAUAGAACAAAAACUGAAUACAAAAUGUGACUAGAAUGUCAAAUAGAUGUCUACAUUCCCAUAUUUAUUGAAACAUUUUUCAUUAUAGCCAAGAUUUGCAAGCAACCUAAGUGCCUCUCAACAAAUAAAGAGAUUGUUUAAAUGUUUUGUGUGUGUGUGUGUGUAUAAUGGAAUACUGUUCAAUCUUUAGAAAAAAUAAAAUUCUGCAAUUUGCAACAACAUGAAUAAAGCUAGAGGACAUUUAUACUGAAUGAAAUAAGUCAUGUACAGAUAAACAAAUAUUACAUGCUCUCACUUAUAUGUGCAAGCAAAAAUUUGAGCUUACACAAGUAAGGGGUAAAAUGGUUACUACCAAAAACUAGGGCAGGAGUGCAUGGAGAAAGGAAAAUGUUGGUUAAAAGGUACAAAAUUUCAAUUAGAUAAGAGAAAAAAGUUAUGGUGAUCUAAUGCAUACCAAGUAAUUACAAUUAAUAAUAAUGAAUUUUCUAUUUAUAAUUGCAAAAAGGGGGAUUUUAAAUGUUCUUAACAAAAAUAAAUGUGAGAAUUGACAGAUAUAUUAAUUAACCUAAUUUGUUCAAUCCACAAUGUAUACCUGUAUCUAUGCAUCACA
rnacentral:lncRNA from 1 species